rnacentral:rRNA from 1 species
CCUACGGGUGGCAGCAGUGAGGAAUAUUGGUCAAUGGACGAGAGUCUGAACCAGCCAAGUAGCGUGAAGGAUGACUGCCCUAUGGGUUGUAAACUUCUUUUAUAGGGGAAUAAAAUGUGCCACGUGUGGGAUUUUGUAUGGACCAUAUGAAUAAGGAUCGGCUAACGCCGGGCCAGCAGCCGCGGUAAUACGGAGGGUCCGAGCGUUAGCCGGAUUUCUUGGGUUUAAAGGGAGCGUAGGUGGCUUGUUAAGUCAGUUGUGAAAGUUUGCGGCUCAACCGUAAAAUUGCAGUUGAAACUGGCAGUCUUGCGUACAGUAGAGGUGGGCGGAAUUCGUGGUGUAGCGGUGCAAUGCUUAGCUCUCACGCAGAACUCCGAUUGCGAAGGCAGCUCACUGGACUGCACCUGACACUGAGGCUCGACAGUGUGGGUAUCAAACAGGAUUAGAUACCCGAGUAGUC